rnacentral:rRNA from 1 species
AUUGAACGCUGGCGGCAUGCCUUACACAUGCAAGUCGAACGGUAACAGGUUAAGCUGACGAGUGGCGAACGGGUGAGUAAUGUAUCGGAACGUGCCCAGUCGUGUGGGAUAACUGCUCGAAAGAGCAGCUAAUACCGCAUACGACCUGAGGUUGAAAGCGGGGGAUCGCAAGACCUCGCGCGAUUGGAGGGGCCGAUAUCAGAUUAGGUAGUUGGUGAGGUAAAGGCUCACCAAGCCGACGAUCUGUAGCUGGUCUGAGAGGACGACCAGCCACACUGGGACUGAGACACGGCCCAGACUCCUACGGGAGGCAGAAGUGGGGAAUUUUGGACAAUGGGCGCAAGCCUGAUCCAGCCAUGCCGCGUGCGGGAAGAAGGCCUUCGGGUUGUAAACCGCUUUUGUCAGGGAAGAAAAGGUUCUGGCUAAUACCUGGGACUCAUGACGGUACCUGAAGAAUAAGCACCGGCUAACUACGUG